rnacentral:rRNA from 1 species
GACGAACGCUGGCGGCGUGCUUAACACAUGCAAGUCGAACGGUGAAGGUGUAGCAAUACAUGCUGACGAGAGGCGGACGGGUGAGGAACGCUUGGGAAUCUGCCUAUCAGCGGGGGACAACCCGGGGAAACCCGGGCUAAUACCGCAUACGCUCUACGGAGGAAAGCCGGGGACCGCAAGGCCUGGCACUGAUAGAUGAGCCCAAGUCGGAUUAGCUAGUUGGCGGGGUAACGGCCCACCAAGGCGACGAUCCGUAGCUGGUCUGAGAGGACGAUCAGCCACACCGGAACUGAGACAGGGGCCGGACUCCUACGGGAGGCAGCAGUGGGGAAUAUUGGACAAUGGGCGAAAGCCUGAUCCAGCGACGCCGCGUGGGUGAAGAAGGCCUGCGGGUUGUAAAGCCCUUUCGGUAGGGACGAAAGCUCUUGCUCUAACAAAGCAGGAGGUUGACUUAACCUACAUAAGAAGCACCGGCUAACUCUGUGCCAGCCGCCGCGGUAAAAC